AAGCCCACCAAAUUGAUUAAUUUCCAUGUGCCAAAUUAAUAUAAGGGGCCAUAUAUGCAUUAUUUAUUCAUUAGAAACUUCAAGAACCAAGAACAAAACACAAAGAAGAGCAAAAAUAAGGCCAUUUCGGGUUUGGCCAUAGGAAAAUCACCCCUCAAAAUCUUGCCUCUAAAAUUAUUUUCUUGUUGAAUUCCUACUAAAUUAAGUGUCCUUUACAACUUGGUGUAGUUGUUUUGGAAGAAGGAGCACUUAUUUCUUCAAGUUGACAACUUGUUCAAUUGAAGAAAUUUGUAGAAAAAGAUUUUGAAGGAAACGGGAAUUGAAUUUGGAAAGGCGUAAAGAGCAUACAAGGUACAGACGACAGAUUUGCUGACCGCCUGCCUAGGAUAUCUAUUCUGCUAUUUUGGGAGUGCUCUUUUGUCCAGAGCCUAUAUGUUGGUACAGUCUGCUGCUAUUGUAUAUAUGUAUGCUAUUCAGGGGUAUGACGGGGCCCUGUCCCGUCUUAUGAUUCUGUUAUGUGCUGUAGAGGUCUGUAGACAUACUUGUGUGG